rnacentral:rRNA from 1 species
CCAUAGCGUCUGUGACCCACCCGAUCCCAUCCCGAACUCGGCCGUGAAACCAGUCUGCGCCGAUGGUACUAUUGCUCAAGCACUGGAAGAGUAGGGCG